UACGAAGGGUUCUAGCGUUACUCGGAUUUACUGGGCGUAAAGGGUGUGUAGGCGGAUAAAAAAGUCAGAUGUGAAAUCCCUGAGCUCAACUCAGGAACUGCAUUUGAAACUUUUUAUCUAGAGUAUGAUAGAGGAUGGUGGAAUUCCUAGUGUAGGGGUAAAAUCCGUAGAUAUUAGGAGGAAGACCUGAGGCGAAAGCGACCAUCUGGGUCAUUACUGACGCUGAGACACGAAAGCGUGGGUAGCAAACGGG
rnacentral:rRNA from 1 species